AUUGAACGCUGGCGGCAUGCCUAACACAUGCAAGUCGAACGGCAGCACAGUAAAGACUUCGGUCUUUAUGGGUGGCGAGUGGCGGACGGGUGAGUAACGCGUAGGAAUCUGUCCUGGAGAGUGGGAUAACCCGAGGAAACUCGGGCUAAUACCGCAUGAUAUCGAGAGAUCAAAGGCAGGGGACCCUUCGGGGCCUUGCGCUCUAGGUUGAGCCUACGUCGGAUUAGCUAGUUGGUGGGGUAAAGGCCUACCAAGGCGACGAUCCGUAGCUGGACUGAGAGGAUGACCAGACACACUGGGACUGAGACACGGCCCAGACUCCUACGGGAGGCAGCAGUGGGGAAUCUUGGACAAUGGGGGAAACCCUGAUCCAGCGAUGCCGCGUGUGUGAAGAAGGCCUUCGGGUUGUAAAGCACUUUAGGUGGGGAAGAAAGGUAAUGAGUGAAUAACUGAUUGCUUUGACGGUACCCGCAGAAUAAGCACCGGCUAACUCUGUGCCAGCAGCCGCAGUAA
rnacentral:rRNA from 1 species